UAUCCCCCAAACCAAGGAGGGAUGAGAACCACCGACCGGGGUUCGACAACUGGCGCAGCCAGUUGGACAGACGACGAGCUUGCGAGGAGACUGCCCGAAGGGCGAGCGCAGCGAGUCAAUCCCCCCCUCACCGCCA
rnacentral:sRNA from 2 species